rnacentral:rRNA from 1 species
AGAGUUUGAUCCUGGCUCAGGAUGAACGCUAGCGGCAGGCUUAACACAUGCAAGUCGAGGGGCAGCAGACCAUUUCGGUGGUGCUGGCGACCGGCGCACGGGUGAGGAACACGUUUGUAACCUACCUUUAACUGGGGGAUAGCCCGAAGAAAUUCGGAUUAAUACCCCAUAAUAUCAUAACAGGACAUCCUGUUUUGAUUAAAGCUCCGGCGGUUAAAGAUGGGCAUGCGUGACAUUAGCUGGUUGGUGAGGUAAUAGCUCACCAAGGCUACGAUGUCUAGGGGGUCUGAGAGGAUGAUCCCCCACACUGGUACUGAGACACGGACCAGACUCCUACGGGAGGCAGCAGUGAGGAAUAUUGGGCAAUGGACGCAAGUCUGACCCAGCCAUGCCGCGUGCAGGAUGAAUGCCCUAUGGGUUGUAAACUGCUUUUAUAUAAGAAGAAACCCUCGUACGUGUACGAGAUUGACGGUAUUGUAUGAAUAAGCAUCGGCUGACUCCGUGCCAGCAGCCGCGGUAAUACGGAGGAUGCAAGCGUUAUCCGGAUUUAUUGGGUUUAAAGGGUGCGCAGGCGGGGUAGUAAGUCAGUGGUGAAAUCCUGCGGCUCAACCGUAGAACUGCCAUUGAUACUGCUAUCCUUGAGUGUAGUUGAGGUGGGCGGAAUGUGUAAUGUAGCGGUGAAAUGCAUAGAUAUUACACAGAACACCGAUUGCGAAGGCAGCUCACUAAACUACUACUGACGCUGAGGCACGAAAGCGUGGGGAGCGAACAGGAUUAGAUACCCUGGUAGUCCACGCCGUAAACGAUGAUCACUCGUUGUUGGCGAUACACAGUCAGCGACUGAGCGAAAGCAUUAAGUGAUCCACCUGGGGAGUACGAUCGCAAGAUUGAAACUCAAAGGAAUUGACGGGGGCCCGCACAAGCGGAGGAACAUGUGGUUUAAUUCGAUGAUACGCGAGGAACCUUACCUGGGCUUAAAUGCAGAAUGACGUACCGGGAAACUGGUAUUCCCUUCGGGGCAGACUGCAAGGUGCUGCAUGGCUGUCGUCAGCUCGUGCCGUGAGGUGUCGGGUUAAGUCCCAUAACGAGCGCAACCCCUAUUGUUAGUUGCCAGCGGAUAAUGCCGGGGACUCUAACGAAACUGCCAGUGUAAACUGUGAGGAAGGUGGGGAUGACGUCAAGUCAGCACGGCCCUUAUGUCCAGGGCUACACACGUGUUACAAUGGCCGGUACAGAGGGCAGCUACCUGGUGACAGGACGCAAAUCUCGAAAACCGGUCUUAGUUCGGAUCGAAGUCAGCAACUCGACUUCGUGAAGUUGGAUUCGCUAGUAAUCGCGCAUCAGCCACGGCGCGGUGAAUACGUUCCCGGGCCUUACACACCGCCCGUCAAGCCAUGGAAGCCGGGGGUACCUGAAGUUCGUAACCGUAAGGAGCGACCUAGGGUAAAACUGGUGACUGGGGCUAAGUCGUAACAAGGUA